UGGAACAAAUGUUUAGCAGAAUUUGUAUGUUAUUAUUAUUAUUUUUAUGACAGUUGCUCUGAGGUUUUAUUUGUUUCUCAGAUUGCAUGGAGGGCCAGAUCAAAUGCUCUUGCCCACGGGCCUCAAGCGGAGCAUGCACGUACCGACAAUUGGGACAAAUUUGGGAAUUUUCCGCCCCUUGUGAUCAAACAGUCUGGAUGGCGUGCGGCACCAUACUGCCUCUCACAGGUUGUGAAGCUGUGACAUACAAGCCUGCAUCCUCAAACCUCCGCCCCCCCCCCUCCCCCCGAAAAAUAAAUAAAUCUGUAAACCAC